rnacentral:rRNA from 1 species
UACGUAGGGCGCAAGCGUUGUCCGGAAUUAUUGGGCGUAAAGAGCUCGUAGGCGGUUUGUCGCGUCUGCUGUGAAAACCUAAGGCUCAACCUUGGGCUUGCAGUGGGUACGGGCAGACUAGAGUGCGGUAGGGGUGACUGGAAUUCCUGGUGUAGCGGUGGAAUGCGCAGAUAUCAGGAGGAACACCGAUGGCGAAGGCAGGUCACUGGGCCGCAACUGACGCUGGAGGAGCGAAAGCCGUGGGGAGCGAAACAGG